rnacentral:tRNA from 1 species
CAGGGAGACAACAAAAUGUUUAAUAUUAUUAUUUUGUCACCUUAGGUCGAUCGGUAUCUCACGUUUUUAAUUUAUUAAAAAUUUCAUUUCCUAAGUUUUUCUAGGUCACACCCAUUAUUUUUCCUGGGCCAUUAGCUCAGGUGGUUAGAGCGCACCCCUGAUAAGGGUGAGGUCCCUGGUUCAAGUCCAGGAUGGCCCAUAUCUCUAUGUUGGGGGUAUAGCUCAGUUGGUAGAGCGCCUGCUUUGCAAGCAGGAUGUCAGCGGUUCGAGUCCGCUUACCUCCACUGAUUACCACCUCUUCCAUAACCGGUAGAAAGGAAAUGUUUUGAGUUGUGAUCAUUAUUCUGAACGAAUCUAGCUUCCUAAUGAAAUCAUUAAGAUGCUGGACUCAUUGAAUUAAUUUCAUUGUUUUCAGAGAACCUUGACAACUGCAUAGAUUAUUUUAAAGACAAUAAGCAUCUUUUAAUGAUGCAGAUUUAUUAUUUGUGCGAAUGCAUUAAUAACAAUUCUAUUAAGCUGAUGCUUCAAUUUUUGAAGUUAUU